GCAGCUUGCUGAGAGGGUAGGGGCUUUCCCCCAUGCUUCCCUGCUGUUUCUUUGUGGCCGUGCUGGCCCCUCUGGUGUUUGCCCUGGAACAGUCUCCAGACAUGGUGAUAAAAGAAGGCCAGCCCGUGAAUCUGGAAUGUUCCGAGAAGAAAUCCUCCAGCGACACUAUGUACUGGUAUAUGCUGCCUUCAGAGAAGAAUUCCAGUCUGACCCGGGUGGUUUAUGCAUUUGCAGGUGGCACAGCAGUGGUGGAGAAGGGUUUUGAGAAUCAUUUCAAGAGCAGCAAUACAAAAGGAGACAGUAUCACCCUCUCAAUAGAACAUGCCUUUCUCAAUGACUCUGGCACGUACUACUGUGCUGAGAGUGAUCACAGUGGUGAGAGUGCUGAGAGAGCUGAGCACAAACUUGUCCCUGCAUAA